rnacentral:tRNA from 2 species
CAUUAAAUGACUGAUAAAAAGUAUUGAUUUUUUAAAUCAAAUAAUAAUAGAUUUUUUCCUAUUUUUAAUGG